rnacentral:rRNA from 1 species
UACGUAGGGUGCAGGCGUUAAUCGGAAUUACUGGGCGUAAAGCGUGCGCAGGCGGUCUCUUAAGACAGGUGUGAAAUCCCCGGGCUCAACCUGGGAACUGCAUUUGUGACUGCAUGGCUGGAGUGCGGCAGAGGGGGAUGGAAUUCCGCGUGUAGCAGUGAAAUGCGUAGAUAUGCGGAGGAACACCGAUGGCGAAGGCAAUCCCCUGGGCCUGCACUGACGCUCAUGCACGAAAGCGUGGGGAGCAAACAGG